UUAUCAAAAACAUGUCUUUUUGAAUUUAAUAUAAAGUCUAAUCUGCCCACUGAUUAAUUUAAUAUUAAAGGGCUGCAGUAUAUUGACUGUACAAAGGUAGCAUAAUCAUUAGUCAUUUAAUUGGUGACUUGUAUGAAAGAUUGGAUGAAAUAUAAACUGUCUCUUAAUUAAUUUAUAGAAUUUAAUUUUUUAAUUAAAAAGUUAAAAUAAUUUAAAAAGACGAGAAGACCCUAUAGAGUUUAAUAAAUAAUUUAAUUAAGAUUAUUUAUAAAUUUAUUAAUUAAAAUUAUUUUAUUUAUUUUGUUGGGGUGACAAAAAAAUAUAAUUAACUUUUUUUAUUAUUUUAACAUAUAUAAGUGAAUUGAUGAUCCAAUAUUAUUGAUUAUAAGAAAAAAUUACCUUAGGGAUAACAGCGUAAUUUUUUUUUUUAGUUCAAAUAAAAAAAAGAGUUUGCGACCUCGAUGUUGGAUUAAGAUAAAAUUUAAAUGCAGAAGUUUAAAAUUUUUGAUCUGUUCGAUCAUUAAAAUCUUACAUGAUCUGAGUUCA
rnacentral:rRNA from 1 species